GCUUAUCACCAUUCCAGAUUGAAUAUACCCGAUCUCGUCUGAUCUCGGAAGUCAAGCAAUCUCGGGCUUGGUUAAUACUUGGAUGGGUGACCGCUUGGGAAUACCAAGUGGGAUAAGCA
rfam:Ciona savignyi cont_62827, whole genome shotgun sequence.